UUGGAGGGCAAGUCUGGUGCCAGCAGCCGCGGUAAUUCCAGCUCCAAUAGCGUAUAUUAAAGUCGUUGCAGUUAAAAAGCUCGUAGUUGAAUUUCGGGAUCAAUAUAUCGGUCGUGCCAUUGGUACGUACUGGUAUCAUUGGUUUCUCCUUUCUGACGAACCAUGAUGUCAUUAAUUUGGUGUUAUGGGAAGUUAGGACUGUUACUUUGAAAAAAUUAGAGUGUUUAAAGCAGGCUUUAGCUUGAAUACAUUAGCAUGGAAUUAAUGAAAUAGGACGUUCGAACCUAUUUUGUUGGUUUCUAGGAUCAACGUAAUGAUUAAUAGGGAUAGUUGGGGGCAUUAGUAUUCAAUUGUCAGAGGUGAAAUUCUUGGAUUUAUUGAAGACUAACUACUGCGAAAGCAUUUGCCAAGGAUGUUUUCAUUAAUCAAGAACGAAAGUUAGGGGAUCGAAGACGAUCAGAUACCGUCGUAGUCUUAACCAUAAACUAUGCCGACUAGGGAUCGGAUGAUGUUAAUUUUUUAAUGACUCAUUCGGCGCCUUACGGGAAAC
rnacentral:rRNA from 1 species